rnacentral:rRNA from 1 species
CCCAGACUCCUACGGGAGGCAGCAGUGGGGGAUAUUGCACAAUGGGGGGAACCCUGAUGCAGCGACGCCGCGUGGGUGAAGAAGCGCCUCGGCGCGUAAAGCCCUGUCAGCAGGGAAGAAAAUGACGGUACCUGAAGAAGAAGCCCCGGCUAACUACGCGCCAGCAGCCGCGGUAAUACGUAGGGGGCAAGCGUUAUCCGGAUUUACUGGGUGUAAAGGGGGCGCAGACGGCGAUGCAAGCCAGGAGUGAAAGCCCGGGGCCCAGCCCCGGGACUGCUCUUGGAACUGCGUGGCUGGAGUGGAGGAGGGGCAGGCGGAAUUCCUGGUGUAGCGGUGAAAUGCGUAGAUAUCAGGAGGAACACCGGUGGCGAAGGCGGCCUGCUGGACUGCGACUGACGUUGAGGCCCGAAAGCGUGGGGAGCAAACAGGAUUAGAUACCCCUGUAAUU